GAGUGUGUGUGUGUGUGUGUGUGUGUGUGUGUGUGUGUGUGUGUGUGUGUGUGUUGUGUCUGUAAAAACACACACACACUCAGUCCUGAAACCAGAGUCGUCCGUUUGAAGGUAAAGUCUGAGCAGGAGGUGAGGAGAGGAGCAAGGAAAGGAGUGAGGAGAGGAGGAGGAGUGAGGGGAAGUAGAGGAUGAGGAGCGCAGAUGUUGGUCUGAUUAUCAGGAUCCAGUUUGUUAAAGUUGAUUUGUGAAAAUGUCGAAUCGAUGAAAAAACAUUUUUGUUUGUCGGAGGAGAAACUCAGGAGAGUUUGACGACGAUGAUUCUGUGAAGAUCUUCAGAUGGAUGUGAAAACUCUGAAGAUCUGAGGUCUCCGGUCCCUCAGCUGGAGGGAGACAAACGUCAAACUGGAGGUUUUAGUUCAGCCGUGAGUCAAACAGACGUCUUCUCUCCAUCCUGAGGUGAUGAUGAG